rnacentral:rRNA from 4 species
AAAUUGAAGAGUUUGAUCAUGGCUCAGAUUGAACGCUGGCGGCAGGCCUAACACAUGCAAGUCGAACGGUAACAGGAAACAGCUUGCUGUUUCGCUGACGAGUGGCGGACGGGUGAGUAAUGUCUGGGAAACUGCCUGAUGGAGGGGGAUAACUACUGGAAACGGUAGCUAAUACCGCAUAACGUCGCAAGACCAAAGAGGGGGACCUUCGGGCCUCUUGCCAUCAGAUGUGCCCAGAUGGGAUUAGCUAGUAGGUGGGGUAACGGCUCACCUAGGCGACGAUCCCUAGCUGGUCUGAGAGGAUGACCAGCCACACUGGAACUGAGACACGGUCCAGACUCCUACGGGAGGCAGCAGUGGGGAAUAUUGCACAAUGGGCGCAAGCCUGAUGCAGCCAUGCCGCGUGUAUGAAGAAGGCCUUCGGGUUGUAAAGUACUUUCAGCGGGGAGGAAGGGAGUAAAGUUAAUACCUUUGCUCAUUGACGUUACCCGCAGAAGAAGCACCGGCUAACUCCGUGCCAGCAGCCGCGGUAAUACGGAGGGUGCAAGCGUUAAUCGGAAUUACUGGGCGUAAAGCGCACGCAGGCGGUUUGUUAAGUCAGAUGUGAAAUCCCCGGGCUCAACCUGGGAACUGCAUCUGAUACUGGCAAGCUUGAGUCUCGUAGAGGGGGGUAGAAUUCCAGGUGUAGCGGUGAAAUGCGUAGAGAUCUGGAGGAAUACCGGUGGCGAAGGCGGCCCCCUGGACGAAGACUGACGCUCAGGUGCGAAAGCGUGGGGAGCAAACAGGAUUAGAUACCCUGGUAGUCCACGCCGUAAACGAUGUCGACUUGGAGGUUGUGCCCUUGAGGCGUGGCUUCCGGAGCUAACGCGUUAAGUCGACCGCCUGGGGAGUACGGCCGCAAGGUUAAAACUCAAAUGAAUUGACGGGGGCCCGCACAAGCGGUGGAGCAUGUGGUUUAAUUCGAUGCAACGCGAAGAACCUUACCUGGUCUUGACAUCCACGGAAGUUUUCAGAGAUGAGAAUGUGCCUUCGGGAACCGUGAGACAGGUGCUGCAUGGCUGUCGUCAGCUCGUGUUGUGAAAUGUUGGGUUAAGUCCCGCAACGAGCGCAACCCUUAUCCUUUGUUGCCAGCGGUCCGGCCGGGAACUCAAAGGAGACUGCCAGUGAUAAACUGGAGGAAGGUGGGGAUGACGUCAAGUCAUCAUGGCCCUUACGACCAGGGCUACACACGUGCUACAAUGGCGCAUACAAAGAGAAGCGACCUCGCGAGAGCAAGCGGACCUCAUAAAGUGCGUCGUAGUCCGGAUUGGAGUCUGCAACUCGACUCCAUGAAGUCGGAAUCGCUAGUAAUCGUGGAUCAGAAUGCCACGGUGAAUACGUUCCCGGGCCUUGUACACACCGCCCGUCACACCAUGGGAGUGGGUUGCAAAAGAAGUAGGUAGCUUAACCUUCGGGAGGGCGCUUACCACUUUGUGAUUCAUGACUGGGGUGAAGUCGUAACAAGGUAACCGUAGGGGAACCUGCGGUUGGAUCACCUCCUUACCUUAAAGAAGC